AAAGCGGUAUCGUAAGUCCUGGUGACCCUGGACCUUCGUAGAAGGUUCCUAGCUUCCGGUGCAACCCCGGAGGGACAGACUGAAAUCGGGGCCCAGGGUGAGCCGCUUU
rnacentral:sRNA from 12 species